rnacentral:tRNA from 1 species
UCCUCGAUAGUAUAGUGGUGAGUAUCCCCGCCUGUCACGCGAGAGACCGGGGUUCAAUUCCCCGUCGGGGAG